CGGACGGGUGAGUAACGCGUGGGUAACCUACCCUGUACACACGGAUAACAUACCGAAAGGUAUGCUAAUACGGGAUAAUAUAUUUGAGAGGCAUCUCUUGAAUAUCAAAGGUGAGCCAGUACAGGAUGGACCCGCGUCUGAUUAGCUAGUUGGUAAGGUAGCGGCUUACCAAGGCGACGAUCAGUAGCCGACCUGAGAGGGUGAUCGGCCACAUUGGAACUGAGACACGGUCCAA
rnacentral:rRNA from 1 species